AUGAUGGAUAGGCCAAGUACUUCUACCAACCCACUCUUCAUGGAGCAAGACGACGACAUGAACUCCUUCGUCACCAAGAGUCACCUCUUUGGUGCACAAUGUGCUUUGCAUCAAGAGCAACAAGCUAUGAGUGAACGCAUCGACAACCUUGCCGCCGACUUGCGACUUUCCGAGCAACGUACAAAGGACUACUUCGACCACAAGCUCGACGAUCACAAGCAAGAGAAUGACGCAAGGAUGGACGAGAUUCGCGCUUUGUUGCUGAACCGCUCUUCUUCCACUUCAAGAAGGAGCCGUUCAAGUCGCCAUUCCGACUCAAGUACACCAACAUUGAACACUCUUCGUCGAGCCGUGCGCACUGACCGUCAAGCAAACCUCAAUCCGCUUCGGGACACCGACUCUCAAGAGCGCCGACGACGUCAAGCCGAAGAAGCCUUUGCGCUAGCUCGAGAACGACAACAACAACGCCAACAUGAAGAGGAAGAACGCGUGCGUCUACACCAAAAUGCACAAGAUGCCGAGGCUCAACGUCAAGAACAACAACUACGUGACGCUCAAGCACUUGAGGCGCAACAAGCUCUACGUGAUGCGAGUCGAGCCGUUGCCGACUGA
rnacentral:rRNA from 1 species